rnacentral:lncRNA from 1 species
GAGGUGGGUCUGAGGAACCUCUCGAAGAUGGCCAUGACUAAGAACAUGGAGAUGAGAAUGGCAGUGGCUACGAACCCAAAAGAUACCGCAUUGACAGAGUUGUUGAAGGCAGGGGAAUGAGGAGAGGAGGACUGCACGGAUGGGAUCUGAGUAUGGGGGGAUUUGGUUUUGGGUUUGGGGAAGACAGGAACGGGGAAGAAAGGAUGAGUGGGAUAAGGGGUGGGUCCCACAUGCAAAAAAAAUUAAAUGAUUUUAUUUUUUUAAUAUUUAAUUAAUUUUUUAAAAGAGAAUGGAUCCCAUCUCAAGCCACGUUACUAUUUAAACUGACGGAAGGUAUGAAAUUGUAACAAAUUCGUAGAUGAAAUAUGAUAUUGAAAUUUUUUAAAGAUAGGAUAUGAAACUGUAAUUGUCCCAAUAUUUAAGGUAGUUUUAUGUAAUUUACCAAAAAAUAUAUAUAUAAAAACUCCAAUUCGUUUCAACUUUCAAGAUAUUACAACAAUAAAAAUAACCAAUUAACCCGUAAAUACCAAUUUUUCUGUGACUUUUCUUGAUAUAUGCGACUUUCUUCCUUUAAUUUUUGCACGUAGAAUAGCUUACUUUUGUCCAUCAAACUAUGGUCCAUGUCCUUCUAAUUUUUUUACCAAAAAGUAUACAGAUAUAUUAAUCAUAGUAUAACUUAAGAAUAAUGUAGAAUCCACAUGACAUUUGGUUCAACUUGCAACCAAAGCAAAAUCAAUAUUUCAAUAUUGCGGAAAGUAGAAGCAAAGAACGUGCUCAUACAGCAAACUACAAAGUACAAACAAAAAAAACUUGAGUAUUUUAUUGUCAUUUUAAAUCGAAGUAUUAUUGUAAUAUUAUUUCGUCGAUUGCUGUUAUAUUUAUUAUUGCCCUUUAUGUUUUAAAAGAAGUUUAAAUUCAGUUGGCGAACCCAAGCUUGAGCCUGGAGAUAUCCGUCUGUGUGCCCUUUUCAUGCAUGCCAGCGUUUUGAAGACAACAUACUGCGUACAUAUAUUGUCUCUGGCGCGCUGUGCAUGGCUGUAUUAGUGUUUAAUUAAUUAACUUCACCCCGGUUCACAAAUUAAGAUUAAUUAUUAAUCACUAGUGGUUCUAUGCUUGGUAGUUGCUACACGUUAUGAAUAGUAGUGACCAAAAGACUAGAACGAUCUUAUAAAUGGGUUUUAAAUUUUGUCUCACGCUGCCACUUAGUACUACGGUUUAAUAAUAUUCAUCUUCACUUGUAAGUGAGAGGUAUCAGAUUCGAUUUUCGUCAAAAGUGAAUUUGAACCACAUUAUUGCUAGUCCAUUGUGAAACCCAACUGCCCUUCCCCUUAAGGUAUAUAAUAUCGUUUGUUAAAAAAAAAUUAAAAUCUUGCCUUACGUUAUCACUAUAUUUGCUUUCUGUUUGACAACCGAUAAAAUAAUUAUAUUAAAUUUAUUUAAAUUACCAUUCAAAUUUAGAUGUAGAGAGUUAAAACAUGCCUCUUCAUUCAUUUGCAUCUCUCAUAUAAAAUGUCGUGGAUUGAUCAUGGUUUUUAUUCGAUUGACUAAAUAUAUGCAUAUAGACGGAUUUAGAUCUCAUCCGGAUUCAAAUUCUUAAUCAUUCAUCAUAAAUCGUGCGGUUAGAAAUCAUUUAAAUUUUAUUAUUUAAAAUUAAACACAAAUAUUAACUAAUGAAGACUAAUCGCACAAUAUACGAUGAACGAUUAAAACAUGAGAAUCCUUAGGAUCUGCUUAUAGACAUCUUUCCACGGAUACCACGUCCGAUCGAUUUGCGUGGUCAGUUCCAUUCCCUCCCCAUCUUAUCUGUAACGGAAAGCAAUAAAUAAUUAAAACACCAACUAUUUCUAGUCAACUGAACCAGUAUUAAAAAGACUUAUUUUUUGAGAUGAUAAAUCAAUUUAUUUUGUUGUUAAUGAGUACUCGUUAAGAAAUAUUUAAUUUGAUGUCAUUAUAAUAUAAAUGUGAAAUUGGUAAUAGUGAUGAUUGUGUGAAAUAAAAACAAACUAAAUUGAUCUUAAUAAGUACCUAUUAACAAUCCUAUGAGUUGAUUUACUACCUCUACCCAAAACCACCGAUCCUUGUUCAAAAUCUAUCAUGAAAUUAUUAUAUUUUUAGACCACACUAGAAAAUUAUGCCAGUCAUUAUUUAUUCAUAAUAAUUGACGUAAUAUGUCAACUUCAAUUGUGGCAUAACAUCGUUCAUUAACUAUGAGUAUAUACAAACUGUCUCAGAUUAGAAGUUUACUAUAUUUUGCAUGGAUUAUAAAAAGUUGAGUCACGACUCAUACUAAUUGGUUUUAUGACUAAACCUCAACUUUCUUUGUUGACGUAAUACCUCUAACACUAUUUUUCAUAGUGUGACAAAAUUACAUUUUCUAAUGUCAUUUCCAAGGGCCAGUCCAAUUCCCUAAGGGUAGUACUAUGAUGCUAUCCACAUAUUCGUAUUUACUUCGUACACACACCUCUCAAUUUUCGAUUAUCGAAUUGAAUAAAUUGAAAAAGAUUAAUAGCAAAAAAUGAGUGUGAAUAACAUUUUCCUUCCUAAAAGAAAUGAAUAGAUGAUGGGUAAAUUACACAAAACUACCUCAACUAUGGGUCGAACGACACUUUCAUACCUCAUCUUUUAAAAUGAUAAUGUCAUACCUCAACUUACGAAUUUGUUCCAAUGUCAGACCUCUGUCAAUUUUCUGUUAAUUUCUCUGUUAAGUGUUGACGUGGCUAGAGACGGGAUCCACUCACUAAUCCAACUGGACUAAAAAAUAAUUAAAUAUUAUAAAAUUAAAAUUAUUUUUUGUAUAAAAUUAAAAUAUUAUAAAAUUAUUAAGAAAUUAUGGGACCUAUCCCCAUCCCCUACCUCUUCCCAUCCCCUACCUCUUCCCGUCCUUUUUGAACCCAAACCCUAACCCUAAUUCCUCAUUUUCAAA